CAGUAGCCGCGGUAAUACGUAGGCGGCAAGCGUUGUCCGGAAUUAUUGGGCGUAAAGGGCUCGCAGGCGGUUUCUUAAGUCUGAUGUGAAAGCCCCCGGCUCAACCGGGGAGGGUCAUUGGAAACUGGGAAACUUGAGUGCAGAAGAGGAGAGUGGAAUUCCACGUGUAGCGGUGAAAUGCGUAGAGAUGUGGAGGAACACCAGUGGCGAAGGCGACUCUCUGGUCUGUAACUGACGCCGAGGAGCGAAAGCGUGGGGAGCGAACAGGAUUAGAUACCCCUGUAGUCCCUGUCUCUUAUAC
rnacentral:rRNA from 1 species